UUAUAAUUGUAGUAUACAUUUUAUAUAACUUGUGAAAUUUCAGCUUUCAAUUGUGUCUUUAUUUAAGAAGCAAAAAUCAUCUCUAAGCAAGCCAUAAUUUAUUAAUUAGGACUAAUUAACAACUAAUUAACUAGGUAAUUAGAGUCUAAUUAACCACGAAUCAAGCCUUAAUAUAUCAGGAAAACGUUGCAAAAUACUUGCAAAUCCAUCGCAAUAUUUGCGAUGGAUUUGUUAGGCAGAAAGAAAAGAAUCGCAAAUCCCUCGCAAUAAUUGCGAGGGAAGUACUAGAACUGUAGUUGCGUGUGUUUUGCGAGGAAAACAGUUUUUCGCAAAAUUUGCGAGGGAAUUGCGACUUUUUACCAUUUGCGAGAAGCAAUUUGCGAGGAACUGGGUUUCCUCGCAAAUCCCUCGCUUUUAGCUGUUUGCGAGGGAUUAGCGAGCAAUUCUUCCCUCGCAAAACGAUUGUUUUCUUGUAGUCUAAAAUAAUACGCAUUGUACUCCUUUUCUCAUUUUUUGCUAUCAUCAAUUUUGUAAAUAUUGACAUAUAAUAUGUUUAAUCGAAGCUCUUGCGACGAAGAGUUCAACUUCACCUUCAAAAUUUUAAAAAUGCAAUGUAUGUGACCGUAAAAAUAUUUAUAAUAUACAUAUAAAGGUCAUAUUGCGUAUUAUUUUAGACUUCACAAUAUUAAUCUGCAUUAGUUAGAGGUGUAGGGUAAAAUUGUAAAAAUGGAUGAGUUAGAGUUUUUUUUUUUGCAGAAAUCCCUUUUUAUUAUUAUCAUUAUAUGUUUGUUUUACUUUGUUAAAGGGCUGAUAAAAUUUUGUAAGAUCUUUUAAUUU
rnacentral:sRNA from 1 species